CAUUAACCAAAAACUUGAAAUGCAAGGUAACAUUACAUAGAAACCAAAAAAUUCCUGAAGAUAGCAAAGUAUAAAAUACGAACCACUAAAAGCAAAGAUACAUUUGAGUGAAAGCUCAUCCUUUUUCCAUUUCAAGUCAAAAUAUAAUUGCACUAACAAAAUAACUAUGUGAACAGAUGAAACAUGGAGGGAGAAAAAGUCAUCAGCUAUCCUCUUUUCUGCCUUGCAACUCUCCUUUACACAUCUCGGAUUUCAAGUUCUUCACAUUUUCAAUGUUGACUCCGAGUAAGAAGAAUGAGACGAGCAAUUCCAUUUAAUUGUAUAUUUUCACGGGUUUCUCAAAUUUGCAGCGCUUCUGCAAUUAGAAAGACAUAAGUUACCAGCAUUUAAGAUAAUAUUUACAAAAUAAUAAUUUUCUUUUUUGAAUGAAACUUAAAAAGGUACAAAGCCCACCCAAGUAUAACUAACAAUUGAAGUUCACAUCCUGUUUCAAAGAUACUUAAUAAAUGGCGUUCUUUUCCUGUACAAAUUAUCAAUUUAAUUGGCUGCAACAAUCUAAAAAUCAAAAGAGAAUUGAAAAUU
rnacentral:lncRNA from 1 species